UACAUGGGGUGCAAACGUUGCUCGGAAUUAUUGGGCGUAAAGCGCGCGUAGGCGGUUACUCAAGUCGGAUGUGAAAGCCCUCGGCUUAACUGAGGAAGUGCACCCGAAACUGAGUAGCUAGAGUACUAAAGAGGGUCGCGGAAUUCCCGGUGUAGAGGUGAAAUUCGUAGAUAUCGGGAGGAACACCGGUGGCGAAGGCGGCGACCUGGGUAGAUACUGACGCUCAGGCACGAAAGCGUGGGGAGCAAACAGG
rnacentral:rRNA from 1 species